rnacentral:rRNA from 1 species
GAUACCCUAUUAUUAAAAAUGUAAUUUUUGGGCUAAAAUUAUUGUAAGUUAUGGUCUUUAAAGUUAAAAAAUUUGGCGGUAUUUUAGUCUGUUCAGAGGAACCUGUUUUUUAAUUGAUAAUCCACGAUUAUUAAUACUUUUUCUUUAAAUUUGUAUAUCGUCGUUAAUAAAAAUUUUGGGAGAAUUAAAAUUUUUGAAGUUUUUUAUUAGGAAGGAGUUCAGAUCAAGGUGCAGUUUAUGAAAAAGUAAAAAUGGGUUACAUUAUUAAAAGAUGUGGUCUUUGAUUUUAAAAGUUAAGGUAAAUUGGAUUUGAAAGUAAAUUAUAUAUUUAGUAUAAUUGAUUUAGCUCUAAAAUAUGCACACAUCGCC